rnacentral:rRNA from 1 species
CACGUAGGGUGCGAGCGUUGUCCGGAAUUAUUGGGCGUAAAGAGCUCGUAGGCGGUGUGUCGCGUCGGCCGUGAAAACCUGCAGCUUAACUGUGGGCGUGCGGUCGAUACGGGCAUCACUGGAGUUCGGCAGGGGAGACUGGAAUUCCUGGUGUAGCGGUGAAAUGCGCAGAUAUCAGGAGGAACACCGGUGGCGAAGGCGGGGUCUCUGGGCCGAUACUGACGCUGAGGAGCGAAAGCGUGGGGAGCGAACAGG